GACGAACCGUCCAAACGUUAUUCGGAAUCACUGGGCUUACAGAGUUCGUAGGCGGUCUGGAAAGUUGGGUGUGAAAUCCCUCGGCUCAACCGAGGAACUGCGCUCAAAACUACCCGACUCGAGGGAGAUAGAGGAAAGCGGAACUGAUGGUGGAGCGGUGAAAUGCGUUGAUAUCAUCAGGAACACCGGUGGCGAAGGCGGCUUUCUGGGUCUUACCUGACGCUGAGGAACGAAAGCCAGGGGAGCAAACGGG
rnacentral:rRNA from 1 species